rnacentral:snRNA from 1 species
AUACUUACCUGGCAGGGGAGAUACCAUCAUCACAAAGGUAGUUUUUCCAGGCUGAGGCUUAUCCAUUGCACUGAGUGUGCUGACCCCUUUAAUUUCCACAACUGAGGGAGUGGGGGACUGUGUCCGCGCUUUCCUACA